rnacentral:rRNA from 1 species
GGAUUAGAUACCCUGGUAGUCCACGCUGUAAACGCUGUCGAUUUGGGGAUUGGGCUUAAAGCUUGGUGCCCGUAGCUAACGUGAUAAAUCGACCGCCUGGGGAGUACGGCCGCAAGGUUAAAACUCAAAUGAAUUGACGGGGGCCCGCACAAGCGGUGGAGCAUGUGGUUUAAUUCGAUGCAACGCGAAGAACCUUACCUACUCUUGACAUCCAUGGAAUUCUGUAGAGAUACGGGAGUGCCUUCGGGAACCAUGAGACAGGUGCUGCAUGGCUAUCGUCAGCUCGUGCCG